ACAAUACACAUGCUCUAUAACUUGCCUUUUUCACUUAGCACAAAACUCCCCGUAGAUUAGUAAAUGCAAAACAAUCCGUGCUUUUUGAUGGCUACAUACUAUUUCCUGUAAUGAAUUUGGCCUAAUCACUAGUAAGAGACAUUUAGAAGCGUUGUUUUUAGAUUUCUGCCAACAUACUCUGUUGCUGUUAAUAUCCAUCUAUUAUAUAUCCAUAUGCAUGCAUAUAUGUGUGUAUGUCCUUUGUAAUCUAGUGCUUUAAAGCAAAAACAACAGAAAAACUGACAAUUUCAUCAUCAUAGGCGAUUUUAAUAUAUCAUAUGUAGGAAUUAAUAAAUCAAAAGACUAUGAAUAUGGAAGAUUUAAACAAUGUAAUUAAGCUUGAUAGCUUAAUUACAUAGCAUAGCAUCCUGUGCCUCUAAAUGUGAAUAUUUUGUAAAUAUGAAAUCUUUAUAAAAAUUGACCACAGCUAGAACCAUAAUGGAAUUCUCAGCAAAUAUCAAAGAACUUAAUACUGAUUUAACACAAUUCAAAUAGUUGAUAAAUUGAUAUAAAAAGGAUAAUUUUUAAAUACGAAACACAGAACAUUUAAAACACUUCUAAAUAAUUCAUGGCUUAAAGAACUCAGAAGAUACAUAGGGUUGAAGAAUAAUUAAAAUAUACUCAAACAUGCAGCUAAAUCACUAAUUUAUGAGAAAUCUAUAGCUGUAAAUUGCUGGGGGGAAAUUUGGAAAUAAAAGAGUAUCCAACAUAGCAAGACUACUAGAGAUCGACAAAAACUAUGUUGAAAUGAAUACAUGUAUUAGGAGUGAAAAAAAGAUACAACAUACACUGCAGAGAUUUUAACAAAUAAGGGAUUCCAUAAACAACUUCAUCUGCAUAAACUAGAAAGCUCAGACAAUGUGGGUGGUCACUGAGAGUCUGAACUGAAUCGGACUCAGUAAAGCAGGUGUCCUUGGGGUGAAAAGGUGAAGAGAGAACACUGAAGUUAAUAAAUCGCAUCCCUAGGGUUGGGAUUAUCAGAACUAAAUUGAGUGUGGUUUGCUGAGUCCUGAUUCCAGCAUCAACAGGCAGAGAAUGAGCAACUGUUGAGUUGAAAGGAUCAGAAUCAAAGCCAAAAAUAAAAAGUCAGCAAGCCCAGAACAGUGGAAACUUCAUAACCAUUUAUAGAAGGCUAGACUAAUGCCUGCACUGGCAAAGAAGCCUAAGUCCAACACUCUACUCCAAGGGAAAGUUAGAAAUAAAGAAUCUAACAAAUCUGGAUUGGUAGGCCUGGAAGGAGUACGGUGUUUCCGUUGGUGUUAUAACACUUGAAAAUGAAG
rnacentral:lncRNA from 1 species